UACGUAGGGGGCUAGCGUUGUCCGGAUUUAUUGGGCGUAAAGCGCGGGCAGGCGGCUCGAAACGUCUGAUGUGAAAUCUCCUCGCUCAACGGGGAGAGGCCAUUGGAAACGGUCGGGCUGGAGGGCAGUAGAGGCAGGCGGAAUUCCGGGUGGAGUGGUGAAAUGCGUAGAGAUCAGGAAGAACACCCGUGGCGCAAGCGGCCACCUGGCAGAGACCUGACGCUGAGGCACGAAAGCGUGGGGAGCGAACCGG
rnacentral:rRNA from 1 species